CCUACGGGAGGCUGCAGUGAGGAAUAUUGGUCAAUGGGCGCGAGCCUGAACCAGCCAAGUAGCGUGAAGGAUGACUGCCCUACGGGUUGUAAACUUCUUUUAUAAAGGAAUAAAACGAGGCACGUGUGCCUUUUUGCAUGUACUUUAUGAAUAAGGAUCGGCUAACUCCGUGCCAGCAGCCGCGGGAAUACGGAGGAUGCGAGCGUUAUCCGGAUUUAUUGGGUUUAAAGGGAGCGCAGCUGGGUUGUUAAGUCAGUUGUGAAAGUUUGCGGCUCAACCGUAAAAUUGCAAUUGAUACUGGGAGUCUUGAGUACAGUUGAGGUGGGCGGAAUUCGUGGUGUAGCGGUGAAAUGCUUAGAUAUCACGAAGAACCCCGAUUGCGAAGGCAGCUUACUAAACUGUGACUGACAUUGAUGCUCGAAAGUGUGGGUAUCAAACAGGAUUAGAUACCCCUGUAGUC
rnacentral:rRNA from 1 species